UAUUUCUAAACAGCAUUGCAGCAAUGAAACAGGCACAUUAUUCCACUUCCAACUGCUGGGCAUGCGUGUCUCUGUUGUCUGUGGAGGGCAGCUGUAGCCGGGUCCUCUGGAUUUUGUUUCACAGAGACAUCAUGGACACAUUUCAUGCCUUUGAAGUUGAGCUUGAUCUUCUGACAACAAAGAGACUUUCAGCCUGAGAGCCACGACAGGUCCCCCGGGCUGUUUCCCACGAGAUGCAGUUUGUGUUGAACCAGCUUUCACUUUCUGGAACGACACUGCGCUACCGUGUUUACUGGAGCUGCCGCUCUGAUGUUGGAGUACUACUCCAUAAACACUGGAGCUGAACAGGAAGCUGAUGUCACAAACGGAGCAGAAGAGGAUGAAGCAAACUAGGAGGAGCGGUCCCUUCGCUCUGUCCCAGGCAAGAUCACCACGCCCAGUCCAGCUCUCUGAUGGAUACAACCUCCCAUCCCAUGAUGCCCUGGCACAGAUCCUACCAAAUGGUCGCUACCCUUUCAAGGAGGCAAGGACUGAGCUCCACAGAGCAGCCCAGCAAGAACAGGAGAGACCAGCAGAGAGGCCAGAGGCUACACAGGCCAACAAACCCAACAUUAACCACACCUAUCAAGUGCAUCAUGCACAUAAACGGUAAGAGAGACAACUACAUCCGAAAAUCAUGGAUUUAUUGUGAUGAUCAUUGCAUGAAUAAUUUUUUGGUAAGA
rnacentral:lncRNA from 1 species